GGGGUUGUAGCUCAGCGGUAGAGUGCGCACCUCGCACCUGCGAGACCCUGGGUUCAGUCCUCAGCACCACA
rnacentral:tRNA from 1 species